UACGUAGGGUGCGAGCGUUAAUCGGAAUUACUGGGCGUAAAGCGUGCGCAGGCGGUUCGUUGUGUCGGUGGUGAAAGCCCCGGGCUUAACCCUGGGAAUGGCCGUCGAAACUGGCGAACUGGAGUGUGGCAGAGGGGGGUGGAAUUCCGCGUGGUAGCAGUGAAAUGCGUAGAGAUGUGGAGGAAUACCGAUGGCGAAGGCAGCCCCCUGGGAUAACACUCGACGCUCAUGCACGAAAGCGUGGGGAGCAAACAGGA
rnacentral:rRNA from 1 species